GGCCAGUGUGUGACCUUUCUGUCUAGAAUAGGAAACAACUUCCCUGUUAAGGGCAGAACACUGCAGUUGAUGUCUAGAUAGCCACCAUUAAAAAGGCUGGACUACUUAUUUUAUGUGAAUGAUGUACUAAAAUCCUCAUACACAUCAAUUUUGGGGACAGGUCCACCUCAAAAUGUUGGAAGAACAUUUGAGCAGAACCUACUUAUUAGAAUCUCCUAUUUUUAAUUUUUUUUUUAAUAUUAUCUUGGGACAAAAAAUGAAACCCUCAAAGCAUAUACACAUAUGAGUCGUGGAAAUAAAUACUAAAUGCAACCAAAAAUGGGUCAGAUGAUCAUUUUCGUGGUGCUCCAGGCAGCAUCUAAUUAUAAAGGGUUUUUUGAUGGGUUUUGUUUUCUUUUCUUUUCAGGCAUAUUGAUAUAUUCUUGUCCAGGAAAAAGGAACUCAUGAAAUAAGUCUUUAAUUCUAAUGUACAAUAGAUGGAAGGAAUUUGGGGGUUCUACACAUGUCUAUAAAAGACAAAGUGACCUCCAAAGUUACACUCAAGCUCUGUUUCGGUGAGUCUGUGAGUUGUGAUGAAUGAAAAUGGGCAGGAGCGGGCCAUGUAAGCAACCUCAGUGUCAGUGAACAACAUAUUCUGCUCUCUAUGCAAGGACAUGACUGCAGGCCUUGCACCAAGCACACAUCCCCAUGAUUCCAGGACUGCAAGGUGUUACUUACACCUAUGGAAGAGCAGUGAAAACAAUGAAAAGAACUCAGACCUUUGUGAUGUCAACAUUGUCUAAACAAAUUCCUGUUUAAAUAAUCAUGAGCAGAAAACACCAACUCUCGGAUGACAAAAACUGAAAAAUAGAAAACUGAGCUUUGUGUUUUUAUAAUUUCUUUUCAUGGCAGUGCCUAAAUUAAUGUACUACUAUUCUACACUUGCUUACAUGAUCUCAGAUAAAUAUAUUUAUCUAGCAUUUUCACUUGUGUCCUCCACUUUAAUAGUGAGUAACAUCUAAGA
rnacentral:lncRNA from 1 species